AGAGUUUGAUCCUGGCUCAGGACGAACGCUGGCGGCGUGCUUAACACAUGCAAGUCGAACGAUGAAGCCCUUCGGGGUGGAUUAGUGGCGAACGGGUGAGUAACACGUGAGGAACCUGCCCUGGACUUUGGGAUAACCCUCGGAAACGGGGGCUAAUACCGAAUACGACACUUCACCGCAUGGUGUGAGUGUGGAAAGUUUUUCGGUCUGGGAUGGUCUCGCGGCCUAUCAGCUUGUUGGUGGGGUAAUGGCCUACCAAGGCGACGACGGGUAGCCGGCCUGAGAGGGCGACCGGCCACACUGGGACUGAGACACGGCCCAGACUCCUACGGGAGGCAGCAGUGGGGAAUAUUGCACAAUGGGCGGAAGCCUGAUGCAGCGACGCCGCGUGAGGGAUGACGGCCUUCGGGUUGUAAACCUCUUUCAGCAGGGACGAAGCGCAAGUGACGGUACCUGCAGAAGAAGCGCCGGCCAACUACGUGCCAGCAGCCGCGGUAAGACGUAGGGCGCGAGCGUUGUCCGGAUUUAUUGGGCGUAAAGAGCUCGUAGGCGGCUUGUCGCGUCGACUGUGAAAACCCGCGGCUCAACUGCGGGCCUGCAGCCGAUACGGGCAGGCUAGAGUUCGGUAGGGGAGACUGGAAUUCCUGGUGUAGCGGUGAAAUGCGCAGAUAUCAGGAGGAACACCGGUGGCGAAGGCGGGUCUCUGGGCCGAUACUGACGCUGAGGAGCGAAAGCGUGGGGAGCGAACAGGAUUAGAUACCCCCGUAGUCC
rnacentral:rRNA from 1 species